rnacentral:misc_RNA from 1 species
GAACGCACCUUGCGCUCCUUGGUUAUUCCUUGGAGCAUGCCUGUUUGAGUAUCAUGAGCAAAUCUCAAAGUCGAUUCCUUUUGUUAAUUCAAUUGGUUUUUUGCUUUGGACUUGGAGGCCUUGCAGAUUUCACGUCUGCUCCUCUUAAAUGCAUUAGCUGGAUCUCAGUAUUAUGCUUUGGUUCCACUCGGCGUGAUAAUUAUCACUCGCUGAGGACACUGUUAAAAAGGUGGCCAGGAAAAUACUGAUUGAACCGCUUCUAAUGGUCUAUUAAGUUAGACAAUUACCCUUAAGUUUGAUCUCAAAUCAGGUAGGACUACCCGCUGAACUUAAG